CUGCCCUCGGGCCUGGCUCGCCCGCGGGCGGAUGGCUCCGGGUCUCUGCUGCUGAGGAUGUGGCUGCCGGGCGGAGGUCGUCCACUCCCCUGGGCCUUUCUCCGCGAGCCCUCCCACGCCGCCCGCUCCUCUCCCGGGGCGAAGGGCGGGGACGAGGCGCGCCGAAGCCCCGAGCUGAAGAGAAGGGUGGGGGCAUGAGGGCGCUGGAGUGAGGAACAGAUUGGAGCCUUCCCACUUCCUCUCCAAUCUCAGCCCCCGGGAGGAGGGGUGAGGCCCUCGAGGGGGCCCGGAGUUAAGGAGGAAUAGACCGUUUCUCUCUCUCCUGUCUCCCCCGCCUCUGCCCGUCUUCCCUCUAAGCCGGCCUCUAGGUGCAGAGGCUGACGUCCAGGAUGGGGACCGGGGAAGCCUCUGGAGGGUAUAUCCGGGAAGGCACCAAGGCUGAAAAAGAUGCAGUCUAGCACCUCAGUUAAGAAUAUGGACUCUAAAGUCAGACUGCCAGGCUUCAAAUUCCAGUUCUGCGACCUCAGCAAAGUUACUUAACCAAGCUCUCAGUGCCUUGUUUUCUUCAUCUGUAAAAUGAGGAUGACGUCACAGCAUUGUUGAGAGAAUUAAUACAGGCUCCAGACUUGUGAAUGGAGAAGUGUUGAGGUGACCCCAGCUCCAGCCACCAGCUGACGACAACCAUACCGGAGAUCCUGAGAGCUGCCUAGCUGACCCCAGGCACCCCCCAGACUUAUUCAGCACUUAGAAGAAUGCCAGGCAGGCUUUCCCCACCAACCAAGAUGGAAUAACAGGGAAAAGACAUACCCUUCUAUCUUCAAUAAUUGGAAACCCAGACAAAGUUUAUGAAACGCUGGUUUUCAAGACAUAGGACAUCAGACAAUCAAGGACAGUAAACACUGAGAUGGGAAACAAACAAGGAAGCCAUGAAAACUUCAAAACUGCUUCACCACCUGGAGACCAAGCACCCUGCAUUAAAAGACAAGCCUUUGGAGUUUUUCUAAAGAAAAAACAUGAACACAGAGAACAGAAGUAAUUAUUGAAGGCCACUACUUCAUUAAGUGUGUCUGUACUGAGAGCAUCGUUCCUAGUGGCUAACCACGUUAUUAGGCUAAGAAGCCCUUUAGUAUUGGUGAAGAGUUGAUCCUGCCUGCUGCUAAGGACAUUUGUCAUGAACUUUUAGGAGAGGCUGCUGUUCAAAAGGUGGCACAUGUUCCUCUUUCAGCUAACACCAUAACUAGAAGAAUGGAUGAAAUAGCAGAGAAUAUUGAGGCACAAUUGUUAGAGAGGAUUAAUGAGUCACCGUGCUACACAAUCCACAAAAGGGUUUUGUCCCAGAAAUAGACUCAUACAUAUAUGAUCAGUGAUUUUCAACAGUGGUACAAAUGCAAGUCAGCGCAGAAAAAAUAAUCUCUUCAACAAAUGGUGCAGGAACAAUUGGAUAUCCAUAAAAUGAACUCGGAUCCACGCUUUGCACCAUAUGCAAAAAUUGACUCAAAAUAGGUAUAGGUCCUAGACCUAAAUGUAACAACCUGAAACUCUAAAAUUUCUCAGGAAAAAAAUGGGAUAAAAUCUUUGUGGUCUUGGAUUAGGCAAAGAUAUUUUCUUGUGUUUGUGGGUAAAGAAACCUUUAAUGAGGGUUCAAGGUGUAAGAGGAGGACCUUGUAGAGAGCCAGCGCUUAGCCCCAGCCUCCUCAUAUGCACAUGGCUCUGUAGAGGUUCUCCAGACAGUGCUGCUGCUGCUGUUUCGAGCCUUAUCUCCUCUGUGCUCCUC
rnacentral:lncRNA from 10 species